rnacentral:rRNA from 1 species
CAGCCGCCGCGGGAAAACGUAGGUGGCAAGCGUUGUCCGGAAUUAUUGGGCGUAAAGGGCUCGCAGGCGGUUUCUUAAGUCUGAUGUGAAAGCCCCCGGCUCAACCGGGGAGGGUCAUUGGAAACUGGGAAACUUGAGUGCAGAAGAGGAGAGUGGAAUUCCACGUGUAGCGGUGAAAUGCGUAGAGAUGUGGAGGAACACCAGUGGCGAAGGCGACUCUCUGGUCUGUAACUGACGCUGAGGAGCGAAAGCGUGGGGAGCGAACAGGAUUAGAUACCCCUGUAGUCCCUGUCUCUUAUAC